rnacentral:rRNA from 1 species
AUUGAACGCUGGCGGCAUGCUUUACGCAUGCAAGUCGAACGGUAACAGGCCGCAAGGUGCUGACGAGCGGCGAACGGGUGAGUAAUGCAUCGGAACGUGCCCAGUCGUGGGGGAUAACUACUCGAAAGAGUAGCUAAUACCGCAUACGAUCUAUGGAUGAAAGCGGGGGACCGUAAGGCCUCGCGCGAUUGGAGCGGCCGAUGUCAGAUUAGGUAGUUGGUGGGGUAAAGGCUCACCAAGCCAACGAUCUGUAGCUGGUCUGAGAGGACGACCAGCCACACUGGGACUGAGACACGGCCCAGACUCCUACGGGAGGCAGCAGUGGGGAAUUUUGGACAAUGGGCGCAAGCCUGAUCCAGCAAUGCCGCGUGCAGGAAGAAGGCCUUCGGGUUGUAAACUGCUUUUGUACGGAACGAAACGGCUCUGGUUAAUACCCGGGGCUAAUGACGGUACCGUAAGAAUAAGCACCGGCUAACUACGUG